UGUCGUGUCAUUUCACCAUAUGAAUCCAGAAUUUUCUGCAAAUUUUUAGAUUUUGUUUUACGAACUUUUUUUUUUUUAUGCAGCUUGUAAUUCAUGGUGGUUCUAUGCUGUAACUGUUGGUGGAAUUGAAAAAAGGAGAGACUUACAAUGGGCAUUUGGUCAAUUGUGAUGCUUGGGUUGCUUGAUUUUUCUAUUUGGCUCUAAAAAACAUGGUAAUCAUAUCAACUGUCUUUGAUUUGAAAACUUUCUAUCUUUCUCCUGUUUUCUUUGACAAUCUUAAUUUUUUUUUUCUUGUGUAAACUGCUGGAUCCUCUUUCUUUACUCAAGACUGCUCAAGGCCACCCAAUGCUUGUAAUUCAUGGUGGUUCUAUGUUGUAACUGUUGGUGGAGUUGAAAAAAGAAGAGACUUACGAUGGACAUUUGGUCAAUUGUGAUGCUUGGACGAACAUCCAUCUCCGUUUAGCUUUAAUUUUAUUUAACCUUAAUAUCCUUGAUCUGUUUUAGAUUCCAAAAUUUCCCAUCCCUUUCCAUGCUUUCAUUUAUGUUCUUGACCCUGGCAUUUCUUGCUGGUUGCUUGAUUUUUCUUUUUUGCUCUAAAAAACAUGGUAACCAUCUCAACUGUAUUGGGUUUGAAAACUUUCUAUCUUUCUCCUGUUUUCUUUGACAAUCUUAAUUUUUUUUUCUUGUGUUAACUGCUGGUUCCUCUUUCUUUAUUCAAGACUGCUCAAGGCCACCCAAUGCUUGUAAUUCAUGGUGGUUCUAUGCUGUAACUGUUGGUGGAAUUGAAAAAAGGAGAGACUUACAAUGGGCAUUUGGUCAAUUGUGAUGCUUGGAUGAACAUCCAUCUCCGUUUAGUUUUAAUUUUCUUUAACCCUAAUAUCCUUGAUCUGUUUUAGAUUCCAAAAUUUCCCAUCCCUUUCCAUUCUUUCAUUUUAUGUUCUUGACCCUGGCUUUUCUUGCAGGUUGCUUGAUUUUUCUUUUUGGCUCUAAAAAACAUUGUAAGCAUCUCAACUGUCUUUGAUUUGAAAACUUUCUAUCUUUCUCCUGUUUUUUUGACAAUCUUAUUUUUUUUUCUUGUGUUAACUGCUGGUUCCUCUUUCUUUACUUAAGACUGCUCAAGGCCACCCAAUGGUAAGAAAGGGAUGUCUGUUUUUCUUGUCGUGUCAUUUGACCAUAUGAAUACAGAAUUUUCUGCAAAUUUGUAGACUUUGUUUUACAAACUUUUCCAUUUUUUUUAUGCAGCUUGUAAUUCAUGGCUAUUCUUCCAGGUGUUUUUGAUAUGAUGGAUAGACUUAUUGGUUGAAGUCACAACACAAGAACUCUGAACUGUGAAUUUGCUUUAUUGUUUCUUCAUGUGAUAAAUGACUAGUCUGAGCUUCAGUUUUUUUUUUCUUGGCUUUUAAUGUAUUGUUAAACUGUUGUGUCUUGUAAUUAAUGUUUGAAAUCUAUUUAUCUGAUUUGCCAGCCGAUAUCUUUACUGAAAUCCUAGACGAUGAUGUUUUGGUCUUGCCCCCACAUGUACUCGAUACUUACUGAGAUAGGUAUAAGUGGAGUGUGAAAGAGUUGCAUAAAAUGCUUCAUUGUUGCAAUGAGCAACUUCAGCAGGUCAUCCAUAUGAACAAGAAGGCACUAGAUCAACAUGAGGCAAGUGACGAGGCACUCCAGAAAAGGCAAGCUGAACUUGAGGCGAGUGACGAGGAUGAUGCUAUGAUUUAGCGUGUGCUAUGCUAAAAUGUUCUUUGUCUGCUUGGCUUCUUGGAUUAGUUCAGGUAUUCCUCACUUGGCUUCUUGCAUCAUUCUUAUAACAACCCGUGACAUCACGUAGGUAAUUUACCUAGUCUAUUGUAUUAUGUUAAAUAUUUUCUCUCUUAGAGUUGUGUUCCCAAUUUGCUAGACGGUCUGGCAUAAUCACUAGCAGUCUCUUGACCUUCUGCCAUGGUCACUUUAUCAUUUGAAUGAUGCACUUCAUAUCAAUAUGCAUUUUGAGCAACUUAUUUCAUGUGGUGGUUGGGUAUAAUAACAUAUCAAGUCUAAUAAUUAGGCACCUUAAUGCUUUGAAAUGAGGACAAGCCACUUUUAUCCCACUGAACAGGUAAGGAUAAAGUAUCCUUGCGUAACUUAUCCACAUGGUUCUGACGUGUUGCCUUUAAUAAAGAAGUUGAAGUUUUCUCCUAAUUUUCCCCUAGGAUUUGUGCAGGAUAGUUCUCCAUCGAGCUUGUUCUAACUGAAAUAGUAUUGAUACAACAAAAACUUUGAUUUGAGUUUUGAGUUUUGGUCUACACACGAUUGAAAACUCAGUAAUUACCUGUGCUAUAUAUCUCUACUUGAUUUGUUAAUUGAUUGUUGAUGUUUUCAUUAGCUUGUUCUGCAAAUUUGGGUUGAAAGUUUUUGGUGCGACUCUUUAUUGAUUGCUUUUGGAAUCCAUCGACAUGUUCUUGGAUACUCAGGGAGCAUUGUUUAUGCCCGAGGGCUUGUCUAUAAAUGUGUAUGCUUUUUAAAAAUUUACAUGAGCUAAAUUGAUAGUGAUGUUGAUAGGACUCCUGUGAUGGGCUGCAUGCUUAUAUCGUUGAUUAUUCUUCUUAUUCUUCCAAGUAUUUACCUAAACCGUGAUAUGUGGAGAUUUGGAUGUGUCCAUAAAUUGAUGGUGUGGUCUGCAAAAUUAUGGAUAGUUACGAUAAAAAUCUUAUAUGUUAUUUUACAUGAUGAUCUUUAUACAUGUUUAUGAUGCCUACAUGUUUUUAAUUAGCUUACCAUACUGGCUAUAGAAAAGGUGAUUUAGCUUACCAUGUAUAGCUUCCUUAGAUCACUCUAGUACACGAUUGAAAACUCAGUAAUUACCUGUGCUAUAUAUCUCUACGUGUUUUGUUAAUUGAUUGUUGAUGUUUUCAUUAGCUUGUUCUGCAAAUUUGGGUUGAAAGCUUUUGGUGGGACUCUUUAUUGAUUGCUUUUGAAAUCCAUGGAUGGACAGUUGUGAGAAAAAAUUUCAAUUUGAUAAUUGUUGUCCAUUAGUCCCGGCUAUAAAAGCAAGCAAGGCGAUAAAGUACCUACAUAUAACCUUUUUCCUUGAUGUGGUAGCUGUAAGUAACUUAAAUUAUUUGAUCGACAUGUUCUUGGAUACUCGUGGAGCAUUGUUUAUGCCUGAGGGCUUGUCUAUAAAUGUAUAUGCUUUUUAAAAAUUUACAUGAGCUAAAUUGUUAGUGAUGUUGGUAGGACUCCUAUGAUGGGCUGCAUGCUUAUAUCGUUGAUUAGUCUUCUUAUUCUUCUAAGUGUUUACCUAAACCGUGAUAUGUGGAGAUUUGGAUGUGUCCAUAAAUUGAUGGCGUGGUCUGCAAAAUUAUGAAUAGUUACGAUAAAAAUCUUAUAUGUUAUUUUACAUGAUGAUCCUUAUACAUGUUUAUGAUGCCUUAACUAUAUACAUGUUUUUAAUUAGCUUACCAUACUGGCUAUAUAUACUCUCGUAAAUAGAAAAGGAGAUUUAGCUUACCAUGUAUACCUUCCUAAGAUCACUUUAGUACACGAUUGAAAACUCAGUAAUUACCUGUGCUAUGUAUCUCUACGUGUUUUGUUAAUUGAUUGUUGAUGUUUUCAUUAGCUUGUUCUGCAAAUUUAGGUUGAAAGUUUUUGGUGGGACUCUUUAUUGAUUGCUUUUGGAAUCCAUGGAUGGAUAGUUGUGAGAAAAAGUUUCAAUUUGAUAAUUGUGGUCCAUUAAUCCCAGCUAUAAAAGCAAGCAAGGCGAUCAAGUACCUACAUAUAACCUUUUUCCUUGAUGUGGUAGCUGUAAGUAACUUAAAUUAUUUGAUCGACAUGUUCUUGGAUACUCGUGGAGCAUUGUUUGUGCCUGAGGGCUUGUCUAUAAAUGUAUAUGCUUUUUAAAAAUUUACAUGAGCUAAAUUGUUAGUGAUGUUGGUAGGACUCCUAUGAUGGGCUGCAUGCUUAUAUCGUUGAUUAUUCUUCUUAUUCUUCUAAGUGUUUACCUAAACCGUGAUAUGUGGAGAUUUGGAUGUGUCCAUAAAUUGAUGGUGUGGUCUGCAAAAUUAUGAAUAGUUACGAUAAAAAUCUUAUAUGUUAUUUUACAUGAUGAUCCUUAUACAUGUUUAUAAUUAGCUUACCAUACUGGCUAUAUAUACUCUCGUAAAUAGAAAAGGAGAUUUAGCUUACCAUGUAUACCUUCCUAAGAUCACUCUAGUACACGAUUGAAAACUCAAUAAUUACCUGUGCUAUAUAUCUCUACGUGUUUUGUUAAUUGAUUGUUGAUGUUUUCAUUAGCUUGUUCUGCAAAUUUGGGUUGAAAGUUUUUGGUGUGACUCUUUAUUGAUUGCUUUUGGAAUCCAUGGAUGGAUAGUUGUGAGAAAAAGUUUCAAUUUGAUAAUUGUGGUCGAUUAGUGCCAGCUAUAAAAGCAAGCAAGGCUAUAAAGUACCUACAUAUAGCCUUUUUCCUUGAUGUGGUAGCUGUAAGUUACUUAAAUUAUUUGAUCGACAUGUUCUUGGAUACUCGUGGAGCAUUGUUUAUGCCUGAGGGCUUGUCUAUAAAUGUAUAUGUUUUUUAAAAAUUUACAUGAGCUAAAUUAUUAGUGAUGUUGAUAGGACUCCUUUGAUGGGCUGCAUGCUUAUAUCGUUGAUUAUUCUUCUUAUUCUUCUAAGUGUUUACCUAAACCGUUAUAUGUGGAGAUUUGGAUGUGUCCAUAAAUUGAUGGCGUGGUCUGCAAAAUUAUGGAUAGUUACGAUAAAAAUCUUAUAUGUUAUUUUACAUGAUGAUCUUUAUACAUGUUUAUGAUGCCUUAACUCUAUAUACAUGUUUUUAAUUAGCUUACCAUACUGGCUAUAUAUAAAAAUAGUAAGCAAUGCCUUGACGUUCUUCCUAUGCCUUUUUAUUGUUUUCCAAGUUUAAUCAGUAUAUUUUUUGGUCUUUUAUGUUGAAAUUUUGAGAUAACCAUAUGAGUGCAUUUUAAAGUUUCAUGUUACAUUUGUGGUCAAUCUAGAUAGCCGUUGAAACAGUUCUAUAAAUUUUGUGGUAUCUUGACAAGAUGUUUAUCACGAAGAUGAUAAUUGUGACGAUGAUGGACGUCAUGAAGCAAAUCUAGAGGGAAAUAUGUUACUGUGAAAAUGAAGGUAUGAAGCAAAUCUAGAGGGAAAUGUGUUUAUUUUUUUGCAGAAACGAGGAGAUAGAAAUAAAAAAGGAUAUUAUAUAACAUGAUGCCUUAAUUGCUCUCUUACCAACUCAAUCACGACUUAUUGAUCAAUUUUUUUGGAUAUCAUCAACCAUUUGUAACCAUAAAGGAAAUGGACAUCAUUUAACAAGGAAAAAAAUAUAUAAGAAAUUUUAUUGUAAUGCAAAAUUUUCUUUGUUUAACUUCUAGGUUGCUAAAGUGUGCUAGUUGCUUUUGACUAUAGUUGGUUGAUGGUUGUUAGAGAGGUUCAGUAACAGGCUCAUGCUUUUUUGGUAAAAUAAAAUAUGGUUUUAGUUAUACCAUUACUUUAUGGAUUUUGGUUAUCCACUAUGGCUAAUAAUCUUUUAUUUUAUCUGCAGUUUAAGAGCAUUUUUGGAUUUUUUUUUUGUUGCUCAACUUUGUGGAUUCGUUUAAUCUAUUGUUUUUUUUUUGUGGUGGUGUUCUACUUUCAGGAAUAUCAUGUAUCGGGUAUCCCAUUGGUAAUAUUGUUUUUGUUUGCUUGCCAUGUUCCAAGUUUGAGGGUUCACUUGGUUUGGGGUAAUGGCAGUUGGUUUUGUUCCAAGAAGAGGGUUUGCUGAUUAUAUAAGUGUUCUUUUCUCGACAAGGAAACAUUAUCAUUAAUAUCUUAUGUUUUGAAGGUUAAUUCAUGGUGGUUGUAAGCUGUAACAGUUGGUGGAAUUGAAAAAGGAGAGACUUACAAUGGGCAUUUGGUCAAUUGUGAUGCUUGGGUGAACAUCCAUCUCCGUUUAGCUUUAGUUUUCUUUAACCCUAAUAUCCUUGAUCUGUUCUUGUGUUAACUGCAGCUUCCUCGUUCUUUACUCAAGACUGCUCAAGGCCACCCAAUGGUAAGAAAGAGAUGUCUGUUUUUCUUGUCGUGUCAUUUGACCAUAUGAAUCCAGAAUUUUCUGCAAAUUUGUAGACUUUGUUUUACAGCCUUUUUCAUUUUUUUUAUGAAGCUUGUAAUUCAUGGUGGUUGUAUGCUGUAAGAGUUGGUGGAAUUGAAAAAACGAGAGACUUGCAAUGGACAUUUGGUCAAUUGUGAUGCUUGGAUGAACAUCCAUCUCCGUUUAGCUUUAAUUUUCUUUAACCCUAAUAUCCUUGAUAUGUUCUUGUGUUAACUACUGGUUCCUCUUUUUUUAGUCAAGACUGCUCAAGGCCAUGCAAUGGUAAGAAAGAGAUGUCUGUUUUUCUUGUCGUGUCAUUUGACCAUAUGAAUCCAGAAUUUUCUGCAAAUUUGUAGACUUUGUUUUACAAACUUUACCAUUUUUUUUUAUGCAGCUUGUAAUUCAUGGUGGUUCUAUGAUGUAACAGUUGGUGGAAUUGAAAAACGGAGAGACUUACCAUGGGCAUUUGGUCAAUUGUGAUGCUUGGAUGAACAUCAAUCUCCGUUUAGCUUUAAUUUUCUUUAACUCUAAUAUCCUUGAUCUGUUUUAGAUUCCAAAAUUUCACAUCCCUUUCCAUGCGAUCAUUUUAUGUUCUUGAACCUGGCUUUUCUUGCAGGUUGCUUGAUUUUUCUUUUUGGCUCUGAAAAACAUGGUAUCCAUCUCAACUGUCUUUGAUUUGAAAACUUUCUUUCUCCUGUUUUGUUUGACACACAUAAUUUUUUUUUUCGUGUUAAUUGCAACUUCCUCUUUAAAGACUCAAGACUGCUCAAGGCCACCCAAUCGUAAGAAAGAGCUGUCUGUUUUUCUUGUCAUGUCAUUUGACCAUAUGAAUCUGGAAUUUUCAGCAAAUUUUUAGACUUUGAUUUACCGCCUUUUUCAUUAUUUUAUGCAGCUUGUAAUUCAUGGUGGUUGUAUGUUGUAACAUUUGGUGGAAUUCUAAAAACGAAAAGACUUACGAUGGGCAUUUGGUCACUUGUGAUGUUUGGAUGAACAUCCAUCUCCGUUUAGCUUUAAUUCUCUUUAACCCUAAUAUCCUUUAUCUGUUUUAGAUUCCAAAAUUUGGCAUCCCUUUCCAUGCUUUCAUUUUAUGUUCUUGACCCUGGCUUUUCUUGCAGGUUGCUUGAUUUUUCUUUUUGGCUCUAAAAAACAUGGUAACCAUCUCAACUGUCUUUGAUUUGAAAACUUUCUAUCUUUCUCCUGUUUUCUUUGACAAUCUUAAUUUUUUUUUCUUGUGUUAACUGCUGGUUCCUCUUUCUUUAUUCAAGACUGCUCAAGGCCACCCAAUGCUUGUAAUUCAUGGUGGUUCUAUGCUGUAACUGUUGGUGGAAUUGAAAAAAGGAGAGACUUACAAUGGGCAUUUGGUCAAUUGUGAUGCUUGGAUGAACAUCCAUCUCCGUUUAGUUUUAAUUUUCUUUAACCCUAAUAUCCUUGAUCUGUUUUAGAUUCCAAAAUUUCCCAUCUCUUUCCAUUCUUUCAUUUUAUGUUCUUGACCCUGGCUUUUCUUGCAGGUUGCUUGAUUUUUCUUUUUGGCUCUAAAAAACAUUGUAAGCAUCUCAACUGUCUUUGAUUUGAAAACUUUCUAUCUUUCUCCUGUUUUUUUGACAAUCUUAUUUUUUUUUCUUGUGUUAACUGCUGGUUCCUCUUUCUUUACUUAAGACUGCUCAAGGCCACCCAAUGGUAAGAAAGGGAUGUCUGUUUUUCUUGUCGUGUCAUUUGACCAUAUGAAUACAGAAUUUUCUGCAAAUUUGUAGACUUUGUUUUACAAACUUUUCCAUUUUUUUUAUGCAGCUUGUAAUUCAUGGCUUCUUCCAGGUGUUUUUGAUAUGAUGGAUAGACUUAUUGGUUGAAGUCACAACACAAGAACUCUGAACUGUGAAUUUGCUUUAUUGUUUCUUCAUGUGAUAAAUGACUAGUCUGAGCUUCAGUUUUUUUUUUCUUGGCUUUUAAUGUAUUGUUAAACUGUUGUGUCUUGUAAUUAAUGUUUGAAAUCUAUUUAUCUGAUUUGCCAGCCGAUAUCUUUACUGAAAUCCUAGACGAUGAUGUUUUGGUCUUGCCCCCACAUGUACUCGAUACUUACUGAGAUAGGUAUAAGUGGAGUGUGAAAGAGUUGCAUAAAAUGCUUCAUUGUUGCAAUGAGCAACUUCAGCAGGUCAUCCAUAUGAACAAGAAGGCACUAGAUCAACAUGAGGCAAGUGACGAGGCACUCCAGAAAAGGCAAGCUGAACUUGAGGCGAGUGACGAGGAUGAUGCUAUGAUUUAGCGUGUGCUAUGCUAAAAUGUUCUUUGUCUGCUUGGCUUCUUGGAUUAGUUCAGGUAUUCCUCACUUGGCUUCUUGCAUCAUUCUUAUAACAACCCGUGACAUCACGUAGGUAAUUUACCUAGUCUAUUGUAUUAUGUUAAAUAUUUUCUCUCUUAGAGUUGUGUUCCCAAUUUGCUAGACGGUCUGGCAUAAUCACUAGCAGUCUCUUGACCUUCUGCCAUGGUCACUUUAUCAUUUGAAUGAUGCACUUCAUAUCAAUAUGCAUUUUGAGCAACUUAUUUCAUGUGGUGGUUGGGUAUAAUAACAUAUCAAGUCUAAUAAUUAGGCACCUUAAUGCUUUGAAAUGAGGACAAGCCACUUUUAUCCCACUGAACAGGUAAGGAUAAAGUAUCCUUGCGUAACUUAUCCACAUGGUUCUGACGUGGUGCCUUUAAUAAAGAAGUUGAAGUUUUCUCCUAAUUUUCCCCUAGGAUUUGUGCAGGAUAGUUCUCCAUCGAGCUUGUUCUAACUGAAAUAGUAUUGAUACAACAAAAACUUUGAUUUGAGUUUUGAGUUUUGGUCUACACACGAUUGAAAACUCAGUAAUUACCUGUGCUAUAUAUCUCUACUUGAUUUGUUAAUUGAUUGUUGAUGUUUUCAUUAGCUUGUUCUGCAAAUUUGGGUUGAAAGUUUUUGGUGCGACUCUUUAUUGAUUGCUUUUGGAAUCCAUCGACAUGUUCUUGGAUACUCGGGGAGCAUUGUUUAUGCCCGAGGGCUUGUCUAUAAAUGUGUAUGCUUUUUAAAAAUUUACAUGAGCUAAAUUGAUAGUGAUGUUGAUAGGACUCCUGUGAUGGGCUGCAUGCUUAUAUCGUUGAUUAUUCUUCUUAUUCUUCUAAGUAUUUACCUAAACCGUGAUAUGUGGAGAUUUGGAUGUGUCCAUAAAUUGAUGGUGUGGUCUGCAAAAUUAUGGAUAGUUACGAUAAAAAUCUUAUAUGUUAUUUUACAUGAUGAUCUUUAUACAUGUUUAUGAUGCCUACAUGUUUUUAAUUAGCUUACCAUACUGGCUAUAGAAAAGGUGAUUUAGCUUACCAUGUAUAGCUUCCUUAGAUCACUCUAGUACACGAUUGAAAACUCAGUAAUUACCUGUGCUAUAUAUCUCUACGUGUUUUGUUAAUUGAUUGUAGAUGUUUUCAUUAGCUUGUUCUGCAAAUUUGGGUUGAAUGUUUUUUGUGGGACUCUUUAUUGAUUGCUUUUGGAAUCCAUGGAUGGAUAGUUGUGAGAAAAAGUUUCAAUUUGAUAAUUGUGGUCGAUUAGUCCCAGCUAUAAAAGCAAGCAAGGCUAUAAAAUACCUACAUAUAGCCUUUUUCCUUGAUUUGAUACUUGUAAGUAACUUAAAUUAUUUGAUCGACAUGUUCUUGGAUACUCGUGGAGCAUUGUUUAUGCCUGAGGGCUUGUCUAUAAAUGUAUAUGCUUUUUAAAAAUUUACAUGAGCUAAAUUGUUAGUGAUGUUGAUAGGACUCCUGUGAUGGGCUGCAUGCUUAUAUCGUUGAUUAUUCUUCUUAUUCUUCUAAGUAUUUACCUAAACCGUGAUAUGUGGAGAUUUGGAUGUGUCCAUAAAUUGAUGGUGUGGACUCCAAAAUUAUUGAUAGUUACGAUAAAAAUCUUAUAUAUUAUUUUACAUGAUGAUCUUUAUAUUGCCUUAGCUAUAUACAUGUUUAUAAUUAGCUUACCAUACUAGCUUUAUAUACUCUCGUAAAUAGAAAAGGUGAUUUAGCUUACCAUGUAUAGCUUCCUAAGAUCACUCUAGUACACAAUUGAAAACUCAGUAAUUACCUGUGCUAUAUAUCUCUACGUGUUUUGUUAAUUGAUUGUUGAUGUUUUCAUUAGCUUGUUCUGCAAAUUUGGGUUGAAAGCUUUUGGUGGGACUCUUUAUUGAUUGCUUUUGAAAUCCAUGGAUGGACAGUUGUGAGAAAAAAUUUCAAUUUGAUAAUUGUUGUCCAUUAGUCCCGGCUAUAAAAGCAAGCAAGGCGAUAAAGUACCUACAUAUAACCUUUUUCCUUGAUGUGGUAGCUGUAAGUAACUUAAAUUAUUUGAUCGACAUGUUCUUGGAUACUCGUGGAGCAUUGUUUAUGCCUGAGGGCUUGUCUAUAAAUGUAUAUGCUUUUUAAAAAUUUACAUGAGCUAAAUUGUUAGUGAUGUUGGUAGGACUCCUAUGAUGGGCUGCAUGCUUAUAUCGUUGAUUAUUCUUCUUAUUCUUCUAAGUGUUUACCUAAACCGUGAUAUGUGGAGAUUUGGAUGUGUCCAUAAAUUGAUGGUGUGGUCUGCAAAAUUAUGAAUAGUUACGAUAAAAAUCUUAUAUGUUAUUUUACAUGAUGAUCCUUAUACAUGUUUAUAAUUAGCUUACCAUACUGGCUAUAUAUACUCUCGUAAAUAGAAAAGGAGAUUUAGCUUACCAUGUAUACCUUCCUAAGAUCACUCUAGUACACGAUUGAAAACUCAAUAAUUACCUGUGCUAUAUAUCUCUACGUGUUUUGUUAAUUGAUUGUUGAUGUUUUCAUUAGCUUGUUCUGCAAAUUUGAGUUGAAAGUUUUUGGUGUGACUCUUUAUUGAUUGCUUUUGGAAUCCAUGGAUGGAUAGUUGUGAGAAAAAGUUUCAAUUUGAUAAUUGUGGUCGAUUAGUGCCAGCUAUAAAAGCAAGCAAGGCUAUAAAGUACCUACAUAUAGCCUUUUUCCUUGAUGUGGUAGCUGUAAGUUACUUAAAUUAUUUGAUCGACAUGUUCUUGGAUACUCGUGGAGCAUUGUUUAUGCCUGAGGGCUUGUCUAUAAAUGUAUAUGUUUUUUAAAAAUUUACAUGAGCUAAAUUGUUAGUGAUGUUGAUAGGACUCCUUUGAUGGGCUGCAUGCUUAUAUCGUUGAUUAUUCUUCUUAUUCUUCUAAGUGUUUACCUAAACCGUUAUAUGUGGAGAUUUGGAUGUGUCCAUAAAUUGAUGGCGUGGUCUGCAAAAUUAUGGAUAGUUACGAUAAAAAUCUUAUAUGUUAUUUUACAUGAUGAUCUUUAUACAUGUUUAUGAUGCCUUAACUCUAUAUACAUGUUUUUAAUUAGCUUACCAUACUGGCUAUAUAUAAAAAUAGUAAGCAAUGCCUUGACGUUCUUCCUAUGCCUUUUUAUUGUUUUCCAAGUUUAAUCAGUAUAUUUUUUGGUCUUUUAUGUUGAAAUUUUGAGAUAACCAUAUGAGUGCAUUUUAAAGUUUCAUGUUACAUUUGUGGUCAAUCUAGAUAGCCGUUGAAACAGUUCUAUAAAUUUUGUGGUAUCUUGACAAGAUGUUUAUCACGAAGAUGAUAAUUGUGACGAUGAUGGACGUCAUGAAGCAAAUCUAGAGGGAAAUAUGUUACUGUGAAAAUGAAGGUAUGAAGCAAAUCUAGAGGGAAAUGUGUUUAUUUUUUUGCAGAAACGAGGAGAUAGAAAUAAAAAAGGAUAUUAUAUAACAUGAUGCCUUAAUUGCUCUCUUACCAACUCAAUCACGACUUAUUGAUCAAUUUUUUUGGAUAUCAUCAACCAUUUGUAACCAUAAAGGAAAUGGACAUCAUUUAACAAGGAAAAAAAUAUAUAAGAAAUUUUAUUGUAAUGCAAAAUUUUCUUUGUUUAACUUCUAGGUUGCUAAAGUGUGCUAGUUGCUUUUGACUAUAGUUGGUUGAUGGUUGUUAGAGAGGUUCAGUAACAGGCUCAUGCUUUUUUGGUAAAAUAAAAUAUGGUUUUAGUUAUACCAUUACUUUAUGGAUUUUGGUUAUCCACUAUGGCUAAUAAUCUUUUAUUUUAUCUGCAGUUUAAGAGCAUUUUUGGAUUUUUUUUUUGUUGCUCAACUUUGUGGAUUCGUUUAAUCUAUUGUUUUUUUUUUGUGGUGGUGUUCUACUUUCAGGAAUAUCAUGUAUCGGGUAUCCCAUUGGUAAUAUUGUUUUUGUUUGCUUGCCAUGUUCCAAGUUUGAGGGUUCACUUGGUUUGGGGUAAUGGCAGUUGGUUUUGUUCCAAGAAGAGGGUUUGCUGAUUAUAUAAGUGUUCUUUUCUCGACAAGGAAACAUUAUCAUUAAUAUCUUAUGUUUUGAAGGUUAAUUCAUGGUGGUUGUAAGCUGUAACAGUUGGUGGAAUUGAAAAAGGAGAGACUUACAAUGGGCAUUUGGUCAAUUGUGAUGCUUGGGUGAACAUCCAUCUCCGUUUAGCUUUAGUUUUCUUUAACCCUAAUAUCCUUGAUCUGUUCUUGUGUUAACUGCAGCUUCCUCGUUCUUUACUCAAGACUGCUCAAGGCCACCCAAUGGUAAGAAAGAGAUGUCUGUUUUUCUUGUCGUGUCAUUUGACCAUAUGAAUCCAGAAUUUUCUGCAAAUUUGUAGACUUUGUUUUACAGCCUUUUUCAUUUUUUUUAUGAAGCUUGUAAUUCAUGGUGGUUGUAUGCUGUAAGAGUUGGUGGAAUUGAAAAAACGAGAGACUUGCAAUGGACAUUUGGUCAAUUGUGAUGCUUGGAUGAACAUCCAUCUCCGUUUAGCUUUAAUUUUCUUUAACCCUAAUAUCCUUGAUAUGUUCUUGUGUUAACUACUGGUUCCUCUUUUUUUAGUCAAGACUGCUCAAGGCCAUGCAAUGGUAAGAAAGAGAUGUCUGUUUUUCUUGUCGUGUCAUUUGACCAUAUGAAUCCAGAAUUUUCUGCAAAUUUGUAGACUUUGUUUUACAAACUUUACCAUUUUUUUUUAUGCAGCUUGUAAUUCAUGGUGGUUCUAUGAUGUAACAGUUGGUGGAAUUGAAAAACGGAGAGACUUACCAUGGACAUUUGGUCAAUUGUGAUGCUUGGAUGAACAUCAAUCUCCGUUUAGCUUUAAUUUUCUUUAACCCUAAUAUCCUUGAUCUGUUUUAGAUUCCAAAAUUUCACAUCCCUUUCCAUGCGAUCAUUUUAUGUUCUUGAACCUGGCUUUUCUUGCAGGUUGCUUGAUUUUUCUUUUUGGCUCUGAAAAACAUGGUAUCCAUCUCAACUGUCUUUGAUUUGAAAACUUUCUUUCUCCUGUUUUGUUUGACACACAUAAUUUUUUUUUUCGUGUUAAUUGCAACUUCCUCUUUCUUUACUCAAGACUGCUCAAGGCCACCCAAUCGUAAGAAAGAGCUGUCUGUUUUUCUUGUCAUGUCAUUUGACCAUAUGAAUCCGGAAUUUUCAGCAAAUUUUUAGACUUUGAUUUACCGCCUUUUUCAUUAUUUUAUGCAGCUUGUAAUUCAUGGUGGUUGUAUGUUGUAACAUUUGAUGGAAUUCUAAAAACGAAAAGACUUACGAUGGGCAUUUGGUCACUUGUGAUGUUUGGAUGAACAUCCAUCUCCGUUUAGCUUUAAUUCUCUUUAACCCUAAUUUCCUUUAUCUGUUUUAGAUUCCAAAAUUUGGCAUCCCUUUCCAUGCUUUCAUUUUAUGUUCUUGACCCUGGCUUUUCUUGCAGGUUGCUUGAUUUUUCUUUUUGGCUCUAAAAAACAUGACUGCUCGAGGCCACCCAAUGUUGGUGGAAUUGAAAAAACGAGAGACUUGCAAUGGGCAUUUGGUCAAUUGUGAUGCUUGGAUGAACAUCCAUCUCUGUUUAGCUUUAAUUUUCUUUAACCCUAAUAUCCUUGAUCUGUUCUUGUGUUAACUGCUGGUUCCUCUUAUUUUAGUCAAGACUGCUCAAGGCCACCCAAUGCUUGUAAUUCAUGGUGGUUCUAUGCUGUAACUGUUGGUGGAAUUGAAAAAAGGAGAGACUUGCAAUGGGCAUUUGGUCAAUUGUGAUGCUUGGAUGAACAUCCAUCUCUGUUUAGCUUUAAUUUUCUUUAACCCUAAUAUCCUUGAUCUGUUCUUGUGUUAACUGCUGGUUCCUCUUUUUUUAGUCAAGAUUGCUCAAGGCCAC